rnacentral:tRNA from 1 species
GGAGAGGUGCCGGAGUGGUUGAACGGGGCGGACUCGAAAUCCGUUGUACCCUCCGCGGGUACCGUGGGUUCGAAUCCCACCCUCUCCG